GACUACGGCCAUGCUACCCUAAACAUGCCCGAUCCUGUCUGAUCUUGGAAGCUAAGCAGGGUUGGGCCUGGUUAGUACUUGGGGAGGGAGGGAGGGAGGAAGGAAGGAAGGGUUUUAUCAAUC
rnacentral:rRNA from 1 species